CCUACGGGAGGCAGCAGUGAGGAAUAUUGGUCAAUGGGCGUAAGCCUGAACCAGCCAAGUCGCGUGAGGGAUGAAGGUUCUAUGGAUCGUAAACCUCUUUUAUAAGGGAAUAAAGUGCGGGACGUGUCCCGUUUUGUAUGUACCUUAUGAAUAAGGAUCGGCUAACUCCGUGCCAGCAGCCGCGGGAAUACGGAGGAUCCGAGCGUUAUCCGGAUUUAUUGGGUUUAAAGGGCGGGUAGGCGGCCUUUUAAGUCAGCGGUGAAAUUCUGUGGCUCAACCAUGGAAUUGCCGUUGAAACUGGGUGGCUUGAGUAUGUUUGAGGCAGGCGGAAUGCGGGGUGUAGCGGUGAAAUGCUUAGAUAUCACGCAGAACCCCGAUUGCGAAGGCAGCCUGCCAAGCCAUGACUGACGCUGAUGCACGAAAGCGUGGGGAUCAAACAGGAUUAGAUACCCUAGUAGUC
rnacentral:rRNA from 1 species